GCGGGCGUGACGCAACGGUAGCGUAUCAGCUUCCCAAGCUGGGUGUUGCGGGUUCGAAUCCCGUCGCCCGCUCCA
rnacentral:tRNA from 1 species